rnacentral:misc_RNA from 1 species
AACGCACCUUGCGCCCUUUGGUAUUCCGAAGGGCAUGCCUGUUUGAGUGUCAUUAAAUUCUCAACUUCAAAAAGCUUUUGCCUUUUUGAAGCUUGGAUGUGAAGGCUUGCUGGCGUUUUAAAUGUUCAGCUCCUUUGAAAUGCAUUAGUGGACCCGUUCGUGUUCAGCCUUAGUGUGAUAAUUAUCUAUGCUAUGGUUUCUUGAAUGCUUGCUCGUUAGAACUUCGAAGUGUUUCAUUACACUUUCGGUGUGGGGGGUUGCAUUAACACUGCUCUCUCUGUCUAUCGAGUUUGGUUUGUCUGCUUCUAACAGUCUGCCGUGUGUGGACAAUUUUUGAACCAUUUGACCUCAAAUCAGGUAGGACUACCCGCUGAACUUAA